GUCUCAUUUCGAGUUCUGCUUCGAGCCGCCGCAGUUGAUUUUAAGCUCACACACGGGCGAAAGGAGCCAUACAUAAAUUUGUGUUCCUCGACUCGCUGGCUUACCAAGUUGUUGGAUGUGUUUCAAACAAAGAGUGCCUCGACUAUCAGAUACCCGUUUGACAAGAAAUUUGAAGAUAAGCUGUGGAAAAUCAACUGUUUUCGGGAUUGUAGUGCUAAUUGAUAUGACAGUUUAGGGACCAGAUGAAGCGUAAUCAAUUCCUGCAGCCAGAUCCCGCCGGGAUAUGAAAUAUAGUGGAUAAAAAUGUAUUUUAUUUAUAUUGAGGCGAACAACACACAUACACAAAUUUAUUGGUAAAAUUGACCAAUUGUUAAUUAUGGCCAAAAAAUAGUUACUAUUACGUAAUACUACGAAAAAUAGUUAUGUUCUUAUAAAAAUAUGUACAAUUAAAUAGCUAUUUUGGGUGAAUUUAAUAUUAUAUUACUUAUAGAUAACAAUAGAAAAAUUCACUCAAAAUAAAAACAGUUGUUUAAUUGUCCUUUUUUUAUAAGUACAUGACUUUUAGAUUGUACGUCACUUAAUUUAUGUAUACGGCGUGUUAAUUUAUUAGCAAAAUAAAAAUAUUUUGUCAAAACUGCA